UCUCCUGUAGCUCAGUGGUUGAGCGUCCGCCCCGUGUGCGGGAGGGCAUGGGUUCGAGUCCUGUUGGGAUAA
rnacentral:tRNA from 1 species